rnacentral:rRNA from 1 species
CCUACGGGUGGCAGCAGUGAGGAAUAUUGGUCAAUGGGCUUAAGCCUGAACCAGCCAAGUCGCGUGAGGGAAGACUGCCCUAUGGGUUGUAAACCUCUUGUGUCAGGGAGCAACGCCGGCUACGUGUAGCCGGACUGAGAGUACCUGAAGAAAAAGCAUCGGCUAACUCCGUGCCAGCAGCCGCGGUAAUACGGGGGAUGCGAGCGUUAUCCGGAUUUGUUGGGUGUAAGGGGUGCGUAGGCGGAAUGCCAAGUCAGCGGUAAAAUCGCGGGGCUCAACCGCGCUCCGCCGUUGAAACUGGUGUUCUUGAGUGGGCGAGAAGUAUGCGGAAUGCGUGGUGUAGCGGUGAAAUGCAUAGAUAUCACGAAGAACUCCGAGUGCGAAGGCAGCAUACCGGCGCCCAACUGACGCUGAGGCACGAAAGCGUGGGUAUCGAACAGGAUUAGAUACCCCUGUAGUC